rnacentral:rRNA from 1 species
CGUAGGGUGCAAGCGUUAAUCGGAAUUACUGGGCGUAAAGCGUGCGCAGGCGGUUAUGCAAGACAGAUGUGAAAUCCCCGGGUUCAACCUGGGAACUGCAUUUGUGACUGCAUAGCUGGAGUGCGGCAGAGGGGGAUGGAAUUCCGCGUGUAGCAGUGAAAUGCGUAGAUAUGCGGAGGAACACCGAUGGCGAAGGCAAUCCCCUGGGCCUGCACUGACGCUCAUGCACGAAAGCGUGGGGAGCAAACAGGAUUAGAUACCCUGGUAGUCCACGCCCUAAACGAUGUCAACUGGUUGUUGGGAAGGUUCCUUCUCAGUAACGUAGCUAACGCGUGAAGUUGACCGCCUGGGGAGUACGGCCGCAAGGUUG